CAGUCGCCACGGGAAUACGAAGGGUGCAAGCGUUACUCGGAAUUACUGGGCGUAAAGCGUGCGUAGGUGGUGGUUUAAGUCCGUUGUGAAAGCCCUGGGCUCAACCUGGGAAUUGCAGUGGAUACUGGGUCACUAGAGUGUGGUAGAGGAUAGUGGAAUUUCCGGUGUAGCAGUGAAAUGCGUAGAGAUCGGAAGGAACAUCUGUGGCGAAGGCGACUAUUUGGGCCAACACUGACACUGAGGCACGAAAGCGUGGGGAGCAAACAGGAUUAGAUACCCGUGUAGUCCCUGUCUCUUAUAC
rnacentral:rRNA from 1 species